AUGUGUCUGCCCGGCAAGCAGCAACCAUCACGAUCCCGGGACAGUGGGCAUGAGAUCCAGGCAUGCGGCGGCCAAACCAGCACCCAGGUGGCCCUCCGCAACGACAGAAGGAGGUGCCGAAUACAGGGCUCCCCGCAACGAGAUGUCCGUCUCCAUCAAGGGGCCCCGGGCGUCUUUGACGUGGCAGAUAAAGUGACCCCUGAGAAGGCCAUCAACGUGCUAGCCGCUGCCCAAGGGGGAAUCUGCGCCAUGUUAAAGGAACAAUCUUCCACCACGGCCCCGAAAGUCUACGCUCUGGAUUCCAGAUGUGAGGGCACAACCGGCUCCACAGUGGUCGUGGGCUGCCUGGUCUCGAGCUACUUCCCUGAGCCAGUGACCGUGACCUGGAACUCGGGCACCCUAUCCAGCGGUGUGCACACCUUCCCAUCCGUCCUCGGGUCCUCGGGGCUGUACUCUCUCAGCAGCACUGUGACCGUACCUUCCAGCACCUCGUCCGGCAAGACCUUCACCUGCAACGUAGCCCACCCGGCCAGCAGCACCAAGGUGGACAAGCGCAUCGAGAUCAAUGGCCGCAAACCAUGCCCCAAGUGUCCUGAAUGCCAGAAGUGUUCCAAAUGUCCAUCCCCUGAGCUCCCAGGAGGACCGUCCGUCUUCAUCUUCCCCCCGACACCCAGGGACACCCUCACAAUAUCCCAAAUACCCGAGGUCACCUGCGUUGUGGUUGACGUGGGCCACGAGGACCCCGAUGUCGAGUUCUCCUGGUACGUGGACGACGUACAGGUGCACACGGCCAAGACGAAGCCAAGGGAGGAGCAGUUCAACAGCACCUACCGUGUGGUCAGCGCCCUGCCCAUCCAGCACCAGGACUGGCUGAAGGGAAAGGAGUUCAAGUGCAAGGUCAACAACAAAGGUCUCCCGGCCCCCAUCGUGAGGACCAUCUCCAAGGCCAAAGGGCAGCCCCGGGAGCCGCAGGUGUACAUACUGGCCCCACCGCAGGAGGAGCUGGCCAAGAGCUCGGUCAGCUUAACCUGCAUGGUCACCGGCUUCUACCCGGGCGACAUCGACGUGGAGUGGCAGAGAAAGGGGCAGCCGGAGUCAGAGGACAAGUACGGCACGACCCCACCCCAGCUGGACGCCGACGGGUCCUUCUUCCUGUACAGCAAGCUCAGGGUAGACAAGAGGAGCUGGCAGCAGGGAGACACCUACACGUGUGUAGUUUUGCACGAGGCUCUGCACAAUCACAACACGCAGAAGUCCAUCUCCCAGUCUCCGGAACUGCUCCUAGAGGAGGAGACCUGUGCUGAUGCCCAGGACGGGGAGCUGGACGGGCUGUGGACGACCAUCUCCAUCUUCAUCACCCUCUUCCUGCUCAGCGUGUGCUACAGCGCCACCGUGACCCUCUUCAAGGUGAAAUGGAUCUUCUCGUCGGUGGUGGAGCUGAAGCGGACGAUCGUCCCCGACUACAGAAACAUGAUCGGGCAGGGCGCCUAG